CGGGGCGAAGCGAUCCACGGCUCCUCCCGCAGCUCCGUCCCCCCCGAGCCCUCCCCGAGGGACCCCGGUGGAGGACCCGCGGCUCUCACACCGCACGGCCCGGGAGGAGCGGGGCCGUCCCCGGGCAGAGCAGCGCCUCCCGACAGAAACACGGCCCAGGCAGGAUUCAAUUGAUUUGCUAAUAAGAAGCAAAGCAACACAUCCGAACGGCCAGGACUUUUCAGAAGCGGGGUUCAUUUGCAGUCUCUGAUAGAAGAACGGAAGCAGAAACGGAUCGAACGGUGCACCGAAGUCACCCGUGGGUCACCUAAACAGCCCUGCUCCGUCUGUGUGCGUGCUGUCUGUUGGAGCGCUGUAACAAAGAGUCGCUGCAUUGCACCGAAUGUAUUUGCUGCGUGCAAAGCUUUAGGGUCUUAAAAACACCCAUAGCAUGGAUUCAUUUGGUGUUAGCAGGUACAGCGUCACAGGUUUCCUCUGCCAGCCUCCAACAAAAUAAUAUUACCUACUUGUAUUUUUCUCCUUUUUUUCCCUUUCUUUUUCUCUUUCUCUCUCUCUCCCUUCCU
ensembl:lncRNA